rnacentral:rRNA from 1 species
CCCUUAGAUGUCCUGGGCUGCACGCGCGCUACACUGAUGUGUCCAGUAAGCACCCAACCUCUUCCGAAAGGAACGGGUAACCUUUGCAAAGCACAUCGUGAUGGGGAUAGAUUAUUGCAAUUAUUAGUCUUGAACGAGGAAUUCCUAGUAAGCACAAGUCAUCAGCUUGUGUUGAUUACGUCCCUGCCCUUUGUACACACCGCCCGUCGCUCCUACCGAUUGAAUGUUCCGGUGAGCUCUUCGGACUGCGCGGUCUGCAGUUUCUGCGUUCCGUGCGGAAAGUUGCGCAAACCUUAACAUUUAGAGGAAGGAGAAGUCGUAACA